rnacentral:miRNA from 1 species
UGGCCUGGCUCCUGGAAUA